CAGUAGCCGCGGUAAUACGUAGGUGGCAAGCGUUGUCCGGAAUUAUUGGGCGUAAAGGGCUCGCAGGCGGUUUCUUAAGUCUGAUGUGAAAGCCCCCGGCUCAACCGGGGAGGGUCAUUGGAAACUGGGAAACUUGAGUGCAGAAGAGGAGGGUGGAAUUCCACGUGUAGCGGUGAAAUGCGUAGAGAUGUGGAGGAACACCAGUGGCGAAGGCGACUCUCUGGUCUGUAACUGACGCUGAGGAGCGAAAGCGUGGGGAGCGAACAGGAUUAGAUACCCCCGUAGUCCCUGUCUCUUAUAA
rnacentral:rRNA from 1 species